rnacentral:rRNA from 1 species
GCCUGCCAGUGACUCUGUUCAACGGCCGCGGUAUCCUAACCGUGCGAAGGUAGCGUAAUCACUUGUUCUUUAAAUAAGGACUAGUAUGAAUGGCAUCACGAAGGUUAUACUGUCUCCCUUUCCAAAUCAAUGAAACUAAUCUUCCCGUGAAGAAGCGGGAAUAAAUUUAUAAGACGAGAAGACCCUAUGGAGCUUUAAACCUCUCAACAACUAUCUUUAUAUACACAUACUCCAGAGCAAUUAAAUUAACCCUGAUAACAUGUCUAUGAGGUUUUCGGUUGGGGUGACCGCGGAGCAAAACUCAUCCUCCGCAAUGAAUUAGAACCAUACUUCUAAACAAAGAAUAACAAUUCUAUGUAUCAAAAAACUGACAUAAUUGACCCAACAUUUUGAUCAAUGAACCAAGUUACCCUAGGGAUAACAGCGCAAUCCAUCUCAAGAGCUCAUAUCAACAGAUGGGUUUACGACCUCGAUGUUGGAUCAGGGUAUCCCAGUGGUGCAGCCGCUACUAAAGGUUCGUUUGUUCAACGAUUAAAACCCUACGUGA